CACAGGUAUACACAACACAUCUGGCAAUAGACAUUCAGAUCACCAGGAUCCAAACGUAAGCCUGACACCUUGCAAAGAUGAAAAGAGUCAGUGCUGUAGUUGCAGUGGCUGUUGUCCUCACACUUAUUGCCACUCAGAAGAGCUCUGCUGCUCCACUCACUGAGGUGACGGCGAAGGACGAGCCAGUGAGCUUUGCCAGUGAAGCUGCUGCACAAGAAGAAACCUCGGCAGAACUGCUGGAGAUGCAGUUGAACCACAGACAGAAGCGUGAAGUCAGAUGCAUCCCUUACUGCAUCCCAAAAGAUGGCGGAGUCUUUUGUGGAGUUACUUGCACUUUUUAACGCCAAACAUAAAUAUGCAUUUGCUAUGCAUUUCUCUUCAAAAUAAAAGAUAC